GAUGAAGAACGUAGCGAAAUGCGAUAAGUAGUGUGAAUUGCAGAAUUCAGUGAAUCAUCGAAUCUUUGAACGCACAUUGCGCCCUUUGGUAUUCCAAAGGGCAUGCCUGUUCGAGCGUCAUUUGUACCUUCAAGCUUUGCUUGGUGUUGAGCGUCUUGUCUCUAGCUUUGCUGGAGACUCGCCUUAAAGUAAUUGGCAGCCGGCCUACUGGUUUCGGAGCGCAGCACAAGUCGCACUCUCUAUCAGCAAAGGUCUAGCAUCCAUUAAGCCUUUUUUUUCAACUUUUGACCUCGGAUCAGGUAGGGAUACCCGCUGAACUUAAGCAUAUCAAUAAGCGGAGGA
rnacentral:misc_RNA from 1 species